rnacentral:lncRNA from 1 species
GAGGUCGCGCCGGGUCCCGCUAGCCAGCGGCGCUCUGUGCUAGUCGGGAGGAAAGGAGCGGGUUGCUACGUCCCCUCUCAGGACUCCGCGGGUCCCAGCGCGUCCUCACAUGCCUGCUUCCUGCGCUCCAACCUUCUCCGGCACGUCCCUCCUUCUUGCCUGAAGCACUUCUCGUCUACACCGGCCUGCACCGCUCCCGAAGCGGAGUCAGGUUUUUUCAGGGUUGGAUUUCUUUAGUUGACACAGGAGUCUGUUUUCCAGCCUUCAUAAGAAAGGAUAGUCGUCAUUUCUAAUUCUUCAUUUCUUGUUUAAAGAUUUAUUUAUUCUUAUGUGCCUUGUGCAGUUUGCCUUCUUUUGCCUGCAUUCAUGUCCGUGUGACGUUGUCAGAUCCCCUGGUACUGGAGUCACAGUUGUGAGCUCCCAUGUGGAUGCUGGGUAUUGACACCGGGUCCCCGGGUUAGUGCUCUUAACUGCUGAGCCAUCUCUCUAGCCUCUUAUUAACUUUUUAGUUUUUAAAAAAAUAUUUAUUUGUAUGUGUGUUCCUGUGUGCACGUGCGCAAUGCGCUAGGUGCAGAGAUCAGAGGACAGCUUUCUAAAGUUGGUUUUUUUCCUACCACCGUGUGGGUCCCAGGGUUCGAACUCAGUACUUCAGGCUUCUCAGCCUUUACCUACUGAGCCACCUCACCGGUAAAUUCUGUAUUAUUUUUUUUAAUUAGUGUGUUUUAGAUUUUGAUUUGUUUAUGUGUGAGAGUAUAAGCAGAUGUAUGUGUUGUGUGUAGGGGUGUGUGUACCUGUAUAUAACCCACACAGGCCUGAAGAGGGCAUCCACCGGGUGCUCUCUGCUGCUAUUCUGCCUGUUCUGAGGCAAGGUUGCCUACUGUCUUCAUUAGGCUGGAAUCCAGCAACCCCCUGACACCCCCUGGUUUCUGCUCACCUUGGGGUUAAGGUUAAGUCAUUUGCAGGGACACCUGGUGUGUUAAGAGGACGCUGGAUCUGAUUCUGGUCCUCACUGCAGAGCAGGUGUUCUUAAUGUCUGAGCCAUCUCUCCAGCCCCUCGUUAGUUUUAGGGGGUCUUUUUUUUUUCUCUCCUUACAACAUUUAUUUAGUGUAUGUGUGUCUGUCUCUCUGUCUUUGGUCAGAGGACAACUUAUUGGAAUUGGUUGUCUAGUUCUAUUGUGAAGCGAGAAUCCAUAUUCAAUUGAGUUCAGGUUUUCAGGUGAGUGUCUUUACCCUCUGAGCCAUCUUGCUGACUUGCCUGGUUGGUUGGUUGGUUUGACACAGGGUCUCACUGAAUUACUCAAGCUGGGAUGGAAUUCACGAUGUAGCUCAGGUUAGCCUUGAACUUGCAACCUUCCUUCCUCAGCCUCCUGAGUGCCGAGAUUCUAGGCUGUAUCAUGACACUUGAUGUUUUGCUAUAUCUGGGGUGAAGGAAGGUGUGUGGUACGAGCAUGCUGUUUGGUCUUUGCUUGCAGUGCUGGGGAUCGAAGCGGGGCCUUGCCCGUGUUCUGUCACCUAGCUCUUCUCCCUUCUUAGCUUUUCUGUCUAAUCAGGUUUGGGUCACUUGGCCAUCACUGUGCAUUGCCUAAUGAAGAGUUCCAGAAAUGGUUUAGAAAAAAUACAGGGCUCACCAGCCUCUCCCAGAAUUGACAGAGCCACUUUGCCUUCCCCACCAGGAUGGGCUGGACUCUUGAAGUAUGAGCCAAACUACAGCCUUCCGCUCUGGCCUCUAGAUGGUCACACGCCCUUGUAUAUACGUGACAACACGCAAACCACACAGAACAAAUAAAACUGAAAUC